rnacentral:rRNA from 1 species
GACGGUACUUGAGGAAUAAGCCACGGCUAAUUCCGUGCCAGCAGCCGCGGUAAUACGGGAGUGGCAAGCGUUAUCCGGAAUUAUUGGGCGUAAAGCGUCCGCAGGCGGCCUGAUAAGUCUGUUGUCAAAGCGUGGAGCUCAACUCCAUUUCGGCAAUGGAAACUGUGAGGCUUGAGUGUGGUAGGGGCAGAGGGAAUUCCCGGUGUAGCGGUGAAAUGCGUAGAUAUCGGGAAGAACACCAGUGGCGAAGGCGCUCUGCUGGGCCAUAACUGACGCUCAUGGACGAAAGCCAGGGGAGCGAAAGGGAUUAGAUACCCCUGUAGUCCUGGCCGUAAACGAUGAACACUAGGUGUCGGGGGAAUCGACCCCCUCGGUGUCGUAGCCAACGCGUUAAGUGUUCCGCCUGGGGAGUACGCACGCAAGUGUGAAACUCAAAGGAAUUGACGGGGGCCCGCACAAGCGGUGGAGUAUGUGGUUUAAUUCGAUGCAACGCGAAGAACCUUACCAGGGUUUGACAUCCUACGAAUCCCUUGGAAACUUGGGAGUGCCUUCGGGAGCGCAGUGACAGGUGGUGCAUGGCUGUCGUCAGCUCGUGUCGUGAGAUGUUGGGUUAAGUCCCGCAACGAGCGCAACCCACGUCUUUAGUUGCCAGCAUUCAGUUGGGCACUCUAGAGAGACCGCCGGUGAUAAACCGGAGGAAGGUGUGGAUGACGUCAAGUCAUCAUGCCCCUUACAUCCUGGGCUACACACGUACUACAAUGCUACGGACAAAGGGCAGCAAACUCGCGAGAGCUAGCAAAUCCCAUAAACCGUGGCUCAGUUCAGAUCGUAGGCUGCAACUCGCUUACGUGAAGGAGGAAUCGCUAGUAAUCGCAGGUCAGCAUACUGCGGUGAAUACGUUCCCGGGCCUUUGUACACACCGCCCGUCACACCAUGGAAGUUGGCCACGCCCGAAGCCGUUACUCCAACCCUUGUGGAGGAGGACGU